rnacentral:misc_RNA from 1 species
GCGAAAUUACCAUUUAUUGAUGAGGACCGCUUACUUACUGAAAUUGGAAAAGUAGAACAUACUUUGACGGAUGAAGAAGCACGGCGGAACAGCACCAUGUUUGAAUUACUUUUUGUGAAUUUAUCACACCCCCUUUCUCCUUGUAUAUUUUCCCUGAAUAACCAUGUCGGGCAACUGUCCGAGAAAGAGCGAGCUGAAGUGAAAGAGAAAAUUGAUCCUGUGGCAA